GUUGAACUCUAAAAGAUAUAAACUGAUAAAUCCAUUUAAAUAUAAAGGAAGAAAUAUGGCUGAAAUUGUCAAGUUUAUUUAUAUUAUGAUUAUAAUUACCUUUAUUUCUAUAUUGCUGGUGCCAUCCAACUGUGGAAGAAUUGCUAAAUGUGUAAAAGAUAAUGAUUGUUUACAAUAUCAGGGAUGUCAGCCUCCAAAGAUAAUGGUGUGUGACAAUAAACUUUGUAAAUGUGUUAGCAUAACCUUUCUCAUUCGUAAUGUUCACAUAUGAUUCUGAAUUUAGUGUCAUCCAAGAGAGUACACAAAUUUUGAAUAUUUUAUAAACUAUGAUAUACUUAUUGUAUUGCCAUCUCAUAAUUUUUUUUUUGUAUUUUUCAUUUUUAAGAACUUUGUAGUUAUGUUUAAUUUUAUUUAAAUCGAGUUCUUCUUUCUUAGUUUCAAAAUAUUUCCAUGGCUUUCAUUUUAGGCAUGUAUCAUGUUCACUUCAAUCUUACCGUCUAUUAGACUAGUAAUAAUUAAGUUGAACAAUAGUUUAUAUUA